rnacentral:rRNA from 1 species
UACGAAGGGGGCUAGCGUUGCUCGGAAUCACUGGGCGUAAAGCGCACGUAGGCGGAUAUUUAAGUCGGUGGUGAAAUCCUGGAGCUCAACUCCAGAACUGCCUCCGAUACUGAAUGUCUUCGAGUCCGGGAGAGGUGAGUGGAACUGCGAGUGUAGAGGUGAAAUUCGUAGAUAUUCGCAAGAACACCAGUGGCGAAGGCGGCUCACUGGCCCGGUACUGACGCUGAGGUGCGAAAGCGUGGGGAGCAGACAGG